rnacentral:rRNA from 1 species
GACGAACGCUGGCGGCGUGCUUAACACAUGCAAGUCGAACGGAAAGGCCCUGCUUUUGUGGGGUGCUCGAGUGGCGAACGGGUGAGUAACACGUGAGUAACCUGCCCUUGACUUUGGGAUAACUUCAGGAAACUGGGGCUAAUACCGGAUAGGAGCUCCUGCUGCAUGGUGGGGGUUGGAAAGUUUCGGCGGUUGGGGAUGGACUCGCGGCUUAUCAGCUUGUUGGUGGGGUAGUGGCUUACCAAGGCUUUGACGGGUAGCCGGCCUGAGAGGGUGACCGGCCACAUUGGGACUGAGAUCCGGCCAAGACUCCUCCGGGAGGCAGCAGUGGGGAAUAUUGCACAAUGGGCGGAAGCCUGAUGCAGCAACGCCGCGUGCGGGAUGACGGCCUUCGGGUUGUAACCCGCUUUCGCCUGUGACGAAGCGUGAGUGACGGUAAUGGGUAAAGAAGCACCGGCUAACUACGUG